rnacentral:rRNA from 1 species
UACAGAGGGUGCGAGCGUUAAUCGGAAUUACUGGGCGUAAAGCGCGCGUAGGCGGCUUUUCAAGUCGAUUGUGAAAUCCCCGGGCUCAACCUGGGAACUGCAGUCGAGACUGUCUAGCUAGAGUAUGGGAGAGGGAAGUGGAAUUUCAGGUGUAGCGGUGAAAUGCGCAGAUAUCAGGAGGAACACCGAUGGCGAAGGCAGGUCUCUGGGCCACUACUGACGCUGAGAAGCGAAAGCGUGGGGAGCGAACAGG